CCUACGGGGGGCAGCAGUGAGGAAUAUUGGUCAAUGGACGCGAGUCUGAACCAGCCAAGUAGCGUGCAGGAUGACUGCUCUAUGGGUUGUAAACUUCUUUUAUAAAGGAAUAAUAUGAGGCACGUGUGUCUUUUUGCAUGUACCUUAUGAAUAAGGAUCGGCUAACUCCGUGCCAGCAGCCGCGGUAAUACGGAGGAUCCGAGCGUUAUCCGGAUUUAUUGGGUUUAAAGGGAGCGUAGAUGGGUUUUUAAGUCAGUUGUGAAAGUUUGCGGCUCAACUGUAAAAUUGCAAGUGAUACUGGCAGUCUUGAGUACAGUUGAGGUAGGCGGAAUGCGUGGUGUAGCGGUGAAAUGCUUAGAUAUCACGAAGAACCACGAUUGCGAAGGCAGCUUACUAAACUGUAACUGACAUUGAGGCUCGAAAGUGUGGGUAGCAAACAGGAUUAGAUACCCCAGUAGUC
rnacentral:rRNA from 1 species